rnacentral:lncRNA from 1 species
GGCAAAGGUAGAGGGUACUUCUGUGGAAGAUGGCGAAUUCUUCAUGGUGAAUUCGGCCACCAUCACCGAAAUCCCGGUUCAGGAGCCUGAUUCAGAGAUGACUGCCAAUCCUGGAGUGGUUACACUUGAUGAUGAAGCAGCUGAUUCUGGCAAGGAGGAGAUGGUGAUGAUUGCAGGGGCCGAGUCAGAGUCGAACGCUGUAGAUGCGUUGUUGGAGACGCUUGAUUCCAUGGGUUUCAAGCAGCGAGAUUUUAAUCAGAUG